rnacentral:rRNA from 1 species
CAGUAGCCGCGGGAAUACGAAGGGUGCAAGCGUUAAUCGGAAUUACUGGGCGUAAAGCGUGCGUAGGCGGUUUGUUAAGUCUGCUGUGAAAUCCCCGGGCUCAACCUGGGAAUGGCAGUGGAUACUGGCAAGCUAGAGUGUGUCAGAGGAUGGUGGAAUUCCCGGUGUAGCGGUGAAAUGCGUAGAGAUCGGGAGGAAUACCGAUGGCGAAGGCAGCCAUCUGGCCUAAUACUGACGCUGAGGUACGAAAGCAUGGGGAGCAAACAGGAUUAGAUACCCCAGUAGUCCCUGUCUCUUAUAC